GGAUUAAUUUACUGGUCGUGCUAUUGUACGUACUGGUUUUAUUGAUUCCUCCCUUCUGACGAACUAUGAUGUCAUUAAUUUGGUGUCAUAGGAAAUCAGGACUGUUACUUUGAAAAAAUUAGAGUGUUUAAAGCAAGCUUAUUGCUCGAAUACAUUAGCAUGGAAUAAUAAAAUAGGACG
rnacentral:rRNA from 1 species